GACGAACGCUGGCGGCGUGCCUAAUACAUGCAAGUAGAACGCUGAAGGAGGAGCUUGCUUCUCUGGAUGAGUUGCGAACGGGUGAGUAACGCGUAGGUAACCUGCCUGGUAGCGGGGGAUAACUAUUGGAAACGAUAGCUAAUACCGCAUAAGAGUAGGUGUUGCAUGACAUUUACUUAAAAGGUGCAAUUGCAUCACUACCAGAUGGACCUGCGUUGUAUUAGCUAGUUGGUGAGGUAACGGCUCACCAAGGCAACGAUACAUAGCCGACCUGAGAGGGUGAUCGGCCACCCUGGGACUGAGACACGGCCCAGACUCCUACGGGAGGCAGCAGUAGGGAAUCUUCGGCAAUAGACGGAAGUCUGACCGAGCAACGCCGCGUGAGUGAAGAAGGUUUUCGGAUCGUAAAGCUCUGUUGUAAGAGAAGAACGAGUGUGAGAGUGGAAAGUUCACACUGUGACGGUAUCUUACCAGAAAGGGACGGCUAACUACGUG
rnacentral:rRNA from 1 species